rnacentral:rRNA from 1 species
UACAGAGGGUGCGAGCGUUAAUCGGAAUUACUGGGCGUAAAGCGCACGUAGGUGGCGACGUAAGUCGGGUGUGAAAGCCCCGGGCUCAACCUGGGAAUUGCAUUCGAGACUGCAUUGCUGGGGUACGGAAGAGGAGGGCGGAAUUCCCGGUGUAGCGGUGAAAUGCGCAGAUAUCAGGAGGAACACCGGUGGCGAAGGCGGGUCUCUGGGCCGAUACUGACGCUGAGGAGCGAAAGCGUGGGGAGCGAACAGG